rnacentral:snRNA from 1 species
AGUUUUGCGCAGUGGCAGUAUUGUAGCCAAUGAGGUUUAUCUGAGGUGCGAUUAUUGCUAAUUGAAAAGAGGACUUCUAGAACUGCUUCAGAAAAUGGCAAGAACAAUGGGUU